CAGCCGUAAACUAUGCUCGCUAGGUGUCAGGCAUGGCGCGACCGUGUCUGGUGCCGCAGGGAAGCCGUGAAGCGAGCCACCUGGGAAGUACGGCCGCAAGGCUGAAACUUAAAGGAAUUGGCGGGGGAGCACCACAACAGGUGGAGCCUGCGGUUUAAUUGGACUCAACGCCGGAAAUACUCACCGGAUAAGACAGCAGAAUGAUUGCCGGGCUGAAGACUCUGCAUGACUAGCUGAGAGGAGGUGCAUGGC
rnacentral:rRNA from 1 species